CCUACGGGUGGCAGCAGUGGGGAAUAUUGCGCAAUGGGCGAAAGCCUGACGCAGCGACGCCGCGUGAGGGAUGAAGGUCUUCGGGUCGUAAACCUCUGUUUGCAGGGAAGAACGGUCACUGUGCUAAUCAGCAGUGAAUUGACGGUACCUGAAAAGGAAGCACCGGCUAACUCCGUGCCAGCAGCCGCGGUAAUACGGCGGGUGCGAGCGUUAAUCGGAAUUACUGGGCGUAAAGCGCUCGUAGGCGGGAUGUCAAGUCAAGGGUGAAAGCCCCGGGCUCAACGUGGGAACUGCCGUUGAAACUGGCAAACUGGAGUGUGUGAGAGGAUAGUGGAAUGCCAGGUGUAGGAGUGAAAUCCGUAGAUAUCUGGAGGAACAUCAGUGGCGAAGGCGACUAUCUGGCACAUAACUGACGCUGAGGAGCGAAAGCGUGGGUAGCAAACAGGAUUAGAUACCCGGGUAGUC
rnacentral:rRNA from 1 species